rnacentral:rRNA from 1 species
AUGGCGUGUUUUAGGCUUCCGAGAGGACUUUGCGAGAACAUAACCUCAAUCAUCCAGCAAUUUUGGUGGGGCAGCAAAGCCGGAAAACGGAAACCGAGCUGGGUGGCGUGGGAUAUCAUGACACGGCCAAAACAUCUUGGAGGUCUCGGCUUUAGAGAUAUGGAAAUAUUUAAUCUCGCGCUACUUGCUAGACAGGCCUGGAGGAUUUUAUGUCCUUCUUCGCUUAGUGCACGCAUUUUGAAAGCAGCAUACUUCCCAAACUCAACACUUCUUGAAGCUGAACUUGGAGGCCGGCCAUCUCAGAUAUGGAGGGCGGUUAUUGAUGACAAAGAUAUGCUCCGGCAAGGGAUCAUACGGAGGAUUGGGAAUGGAAGUACCACAGAAAUAUGAUCUCAUAACUGGUUGCCUAGGACCGGUCUGAUGAGACCCAUCAUCUCACUAGUCACUAACCCUCCGAGGUAUGUUUCAGAACUGAUCAACACAUCAUCAUCAUCGUGGAAUGAGCAGUUGGUUCGUGCGGUCUUUGUCCCCAUUGAUGCUGAAGCCAUUCUGUCUAUUCCGCUUUGCACAAGGAAUAUUGAUGAUUUUGGGGCAUGGAGUGGAGAGAAACGAGGAUUUUUCUCUGUCAAGUCUGCUUAUAAAAUGAUAAUGCAAACCAAGAUUACAAGAGAAAAUUGGAUUGAGGAAAAUGAUGGACCUUCUGGAGCUGAUCAGGAGGGCAACGCAUGGACUGCACUUUGGAGAACGGAAAUACCAUCGAAGGUAAAAAUGUUUUUAUGGCGUCUAGCCUAG